GAAUGUGAAAAUGCAUUAUUUAUGAUAUGCUAUAUUUUUCCUAUUUUGAAAGUGUAUCAUCCAGUCAAGAGGCAAAGCACAUAGCUUAGAUGAUUAAUUACAUAUACCAAAAAAUGCAUAUCGAGAUAUAGAGUAUAAGAAUAUUGAAGCCUGUUUGGCAGGGAAAGCAAAGCACAAAUACUAAAGAAAGUCUCUGAUAUUACAGCAAGAUGAUCAGGAGCUUCCAGAGCUCAUUACAAGAAAGCACUAAGAAACAGUUUCAUUAAGUCUACAGUAUAGAAAAUUAAUAUUAAUUUUGGAUAGAUUUUUUUUACCAUUAUUUACUCAACCACAUCAUGCAUUUUUGAAGGCACAAGCGUAUUUAACUGGGACAUUUCACACAGAGGUAAAUGCAUGUCAAUUAAACAGUCCUUAGAACAUCUUACAUCAGUAUAACUGAGAUCAAUUUUAGGUACAGCUGUCAGCUAAAUAAAGGAAUCAAAAUUAUUGACAGGGUUUACUUUUUAGUUCAUGCAGGUUCAUUUUCCAUUGACUUUGCUGUCAUCUGGGCAUCGUUGCUACGUCUCUUUUCCAGAAUAGGUCUGUUCUGUUACAACAUCUUUUGUACUGUAAGAUGCCAUCGUAGAGACUCAGUAUUCUUUCCAGUAAACAGAUUCCUCCAGCUCAAUAACACUUUUCUCUUGGUUUGUUUGAUGAGGCCGAGGUCAGGAAACAAAAGGAUUUUGUUCUCCCGAUACUGGGUAUUGCAUUGCUAGAGUUGCUUUCAGCAGUCUAUCCUGUUCUCCUAUUUCAAACUUAGAUGAAAUAAAAACACUCCCACUGUCAUUCGCAGUCACAUUCUCCUCACUGGUAUUCUCAGCACUUUUCCAUGCAAAGUGUGUUCUUCCCUGAUAUCAAUUUCCAGAAGUUCAGCAGGAGUUUUAAUAAUAAAUGAAAUAGGAUCUAUCUGGCCUGUACUAGAGGGGAAGCAAAGGCUGUGCAGAACUUCAGAGCUUGUUUGGUUUUUAGUUGCUUCCUCCCUUUUGUCUAGUGACACACAUUUCACAAAGGAAUAUAGACACCUCAGCCACCUUCUCCACCUUCAGCCCAUGCAAUUUUAAAGGCACUUUUAGGCUCUUUACCUCCCCUUAUCAUGGAAAUACAAACUUUCAAGAAAGAAGUAGAACAGACAGGUAGGGACGGAAACUAUUUAGCUAUCUUACCAUAAUCUGCCCGCAUUCAGUGGUAUCUGAACUCAGAGCUCCAGCCUGUGGGCAUAUGCUUCCAAUACAGCCCAGACCACACCACAGAGAGGCCUCAGUAUGUUCUUAUUAUAUAACUCUCUGUGAUAUCAUGUUUACCAAGUACUUGUAAAAAAUGAUGCAUCUGGAAGCAACUAUUUUCAUACCAUGAGUCUUUACCAAAAGAAUACUUAUUAGGAGAGAUAGAACUAGACUUUCACGUUGGUGAUGCACAAAAUGAAAUCUAGAAUAGUUUUAAACAAUGUUGUAACUGUAUUUCCUUUACUUUUCUUAAAAGACUUAAUGCUAUCUGAAAAAAUAGUCAGCAAAAAAAAAAAAGUCAACAUUUAUACAUUGUUUUUAUUUAGUAAAUAUUUGAGAAUAAAGAACAAUCACGAU
ensembl:lncRNA